rnacentral:rRNA from 1 species
AUUGAACGCUGGCGGCAGGCCUAACACAUGCAAGUCGAGCGAGCGGCGGACGGGUGAGUAAUGUCUGGGAAACUGCCUGAUGGAGGGGGAUAACUACUGGAAACGGUAGCUAAUACCGCAUACCAUCAGAUGUGCCCAGAUGGGAUUAGCUAGUAGGUGGGGUAACGGCUCACUUAGGCGACGAUCCCGAGCUGGUCUGAGAGGAUGACCAGCCACAUGGGAAAUGACACACGGUCCAGACUCCUACGGGAGACAGCAGUGGGGAAGAGUGCACAAUGGGAGCAAGCCUGAUGCAGCCACGCCGCGUGUGUGAAGAAGGCCUUCGGGUUGUAAAGCAAUUUCAGCGGGGAGGCGUUACCCGCAGAAGAAGCACCGGCUAACUCCGUGCCAGCAGCCGCGGUAAUAC